UGAAUACGAGAUGCUACGGCGUCGAAGCAGUCUAUGUCAUACUUCCAAGAAAAGCUCGCACUGUCAUAAACAAAUAAUGCCUGUACCAUAACCGACACAGGUGGGUAGGUAGAGUAUACUAAGGGGCGCGAGAUAACUCUCUCUAAGGAACUCGGCAAAAUGACUCCGUAACUUCGGGAGAAGGAGUGCCUUAUUUAUAAGGUUGCAAUAACAAGAUCCAAGCAACUGUUUAUCAAAAACACAGGUCUCCGCUAAGUCGUAAGACGAUGUAUGGGGGCUGACGCCUGCCCAGUGCCAGAAGGUUAAAGAAGUUGGUUAGCAUUCGCGAAGCUGAUAACUGAAGCCCUGGUGAACGGCGGCCGUAACAAUAACGGUCCUAAGGUAGCGAAAUUCCUUGUCGGGUAAGUUCCGACCCGCACGAAAGGCGUAAUGAUUUGGAUACUGUCUCGGAGAGGGGCUCGGUGAAAUAGACUUGUCUGUGAAGAUGCGGACUACCUGCACCAGGACAGAAAGACCCUAUGAAGCUUUACUGUAACUUGAGAUUGAAAUUGGACUUUACUUGCGCAGUAUAGGUGGGAGGCGUUGAUAAUAUUCUUGCGGGAUUAUUUGAGCCAUCAGUGAGAUACCACUCUUGUAAUGUUAGAUUUCUAACUUUGUAUCAUUAUCUGGUCAAAGGACAGUUUCAGGCGGGCAGUCUGACUGGGGCGGUCGCCUCCUAAACGGUAACGGAGGCGCACAAAGGUUUCCUCUGAACGGGUAGAAAUCGUAUCUAGAGUGUAAAGGCAUAAGGAAGCUUGACUGUGAGACCUACAAGUCGAGCAGGGACGAAAGUCGGUCUUAGUGAUCUGACGGUGCUGAGUGGAAAGGCCGUCACUCAACGGAUAAAAGUUACUCUAAGGAUAACAGGCUGAUCUCCCCCAAGAGUUCACAUCGACGGGGAGGUUUGGCACCUCGAUGUCGGCUCAUCGCAUCCUGGGGCGGUAGUACGUCCCAAGGGUUGGGCUGUUCGCCCAUGAAAGCGGUACGCGAGCUGGGUUCAGAACGUCGUGAGACAGUUCGGUCCAUAUCCGGUGUAGGCGUUAGAAUAUUGAGAGGAGCCUUCUUUAGUACGAGAGGACCGAGAAGGACAUACCUCUGGUGUACCAGUUAUCGUGCCAACGGUAAACGCUGGGUAGCUAUGUAUGGAGUGGAUAACCGCUGAAAGCAUCUAAGUGGGAAGCCCACCUCAAGAUAAGUAUUCGC
rnacentral:rRNA from 1 species